ensembl:lncRNA
GUGAGUUAGACACACGCACAGUGUCACGUAGGUGAUGAGUGUUUUGUGUGUCUCUUUAUUGCGGUGACUUGUUUUGAUCACUUGUAUGUUUGAUUGAUUGCUUUGUGACACAUUGAAGACAUUGGACUUUGAUCAUUUACUCAUAUGUGUCUUUUAUUUGUUUCAGGAGGUUCACAGAGAUGAGUUGCAACAAGAAAACGUUAUGCAUGGUGUCAGAGAUUUGCCGUAGAAGCAGAGCUUCUUCUUCUUCUUCUUCUUCUUCUUCUUCUUCUUCUUCUUCUUCUUCUUCUUCUUCUUCUUCUUCUUCUUCUUCUUCUUCUUCUUCUUCUUCUUCUUCUUCUUCUUCUUCUUCUUCUUCUUCUUCUUCUUAAUGGAAUUUCACCUAAAUAAAAAAAAAAAAAAAAAAAAAAAAAAGAGUCCAAACUGCAUUGUCGUCAAUUUUUCUGAAAAACAAAGAGUAAAGUGUGAAGAGAGAGAAAAGUAGGAAAGAGGAAAAGAGUAAAGUGUGAGAAAAAAGCAAAGAGAGAAGAGAGGAAAAAGAAGAAAGUUUAAGGAAAGAACAAAGAGAAAAAGAACAAAGUGUGGAAAAAGAACAAAGUGUGAAAAUAGCAAAGUAAGAGGAAAGAGGAAAAUAGGAAAGUGUGAAAAUAGCAAAGUGUGAAAAAAGAGGAAAGAGAGUAAAGAGGAAAAAGAACAAAGUGUGAAAAUAGCAAAGUGUGAGAAAAUAGCAAAGAAAGGGGACAGAGGAAAAAAGACUAAGUGUGAGAGGAAAGGGGACAGAGGAAAAAAAACUAAGUGUGAGAGAAAAGGGGACAGAGGAAAAAAGACUAAGUGUGAGAGGAAAAAAGACUAAGUGUGAGAGAAAAGGGGACAGAGGAAAAAAGACUAAGUGUGAGAGGAAAAAAAGACUAAGUGUGAGAGAAAAGGGGACAGAGGAAAAAAGACUAAGUGUGAGAGGAAAAAAGACUAAGUGUGAGAGAAAAGGGGACAGAGGAAAAAAGACUAAGUGUGAGAGGAAAGGGGACAGAGGAAAAAAGACUAAGUGUGAGAGGAAAGGGGACAGAGGAAAAAAGACUAAGUGUGAGAGGAAAAAAGACUAAGUGUGAGAAAAGGGGACAGAGGAAAAAAGACUAAGUGUGAGAGGAAAAAAGACUAAGUGUGAGGAAAAAGAACAAAGUGUGAAAAUAGCAAAGUGUGACAAAAGAGGAAAAAGAACAAAGUAGGAAAAGAACAAAGUGUGAGAAAAGAGGAAAAAGAACAAAGUGUGAAAAUAGCAAAGUGUGAGAAAAGAGGAAAAAGAACAAAGUGUGAAAAAAGAGGAAAAAGAACAAAGUGUGAAAAUAGCAAAGUGUGAGAAAAGAGGAAAAAGAACAAAGUGAGAAAAGAGGAAAAAUAGCAAAGUGUGAGAAAAGAGGAAAGUAGAAAAAUAGCAAAGUGUGAGAAAAGAACAAACUCACCUCUAUGGAUGUCAACGUCAUCUUUAAUCGUCCACUGCAGAUCUCGUCUCUCGGCAUGUAAAAGAAACAGAGAAAAUGGCGACAUCAGCAAACAAUUAAAGUCCAAUGUCUUCAAUUUAUGUCAAAGCCAUGAAUGACACAGACAAGUGACCAGGAUAAAGUCCAAACGUGACCCAGAUGCUAAACAGCCAACACCUCAAGGACAGAGUGUGUCAAAGCAAAGAGUUAGACAUGCAAAGAACCCGAACAAAGUGCAAACAUGACACAGACAACACAAAACAGCCAUCGCUUCUGUCAAUGUGUGUGACUCACCUCUAUGGAAGUCAACGUCGUCUUUAAUCGUCCACUGCACAUCUCGUCUCUCGACAUGUAAAACAAACAAAGAAAAUGUCAACAUCAGCAAACAAUCAAAGUCCCAUGUCUUCAAUUUAUGUCAAAGCCAUGAAUGACACAGACAAGUGACCAGGAUAAAGUCCAAACGUGACCCAGAUGCUAAACAGCCAACACCUCAAGGACAGAGUGUGUCAAAGCAAAGAGUUAGACAUGCAAAGAACCCGAACAAAGUGCAAACAUGACAGACAACACAAAACAACCAUCGCUUCUGUCAAUGUGUAUGACUCACCUCUAUGGACGUCAAUGUCCUCUUUAAUCGUCCACUGCACAUCUCGUCUCUCGACCUCUAUGGAUGUCAACGUCCUCUUUAAUCGUCCACUGCACAUCUCGGUCUCUCAGCAUGUAAAAGAAACAAAGAAAAUGGCGACAUCAGCAAACAAUCAAAGUCCCAUGUCUUCAAUUUAUGUCAAAGCCAUGAAUGACGCAGACGAGUGACCAGGAUAAAGUCCAAACGUGACCCAGAUGCUAAAC